ACUCGGGGCUCAAACUCACCAACCGUGAGAUCAUGACCUGAACCCAAGUCGGACACUCAACCGACUGAGCGACCCAGGUGACCCUUUUUUAAAUAACAAUUUAAUCUGCCUUUUCAGUUCUACAAAAGUUUGAUUGAAUAAAGGAAUUAGGACAAAUUUUUUCUAAAACACAAUGAAUUAUAUAAAUAGUAGGCCUUAUUCUAAAAUUACUAACGAAGAAACUACUGUCCCUUCCUGUCUCCUUUUCACCAAGAAAAGCUAACCUAUUUCAAUGAGGAACAAAACAUUUUUAAAAAUGCACCCCUCUUGUAUAGGAAAGUGAUGAAACAUUCUGGAAACAAAAAAAGGGGGGAGUUGCAAGGGAUUACUCUUGAUUAUAGCAAAUAGCUAAUUCAAAUAUUCUACAUCAUUUUAUUUAUUCUAAAAUAUAAUGAUUAAAGUGAGAAACAAUCCCCUAAGCACAAUGUGGCUGACAGUGCUCUUCCACUGUUUUUGUGUAGAUAGGACAAGGUCCUUAGACAUUCUUGCCAAAUAGUGUCCUGUUCAGAGCAGUCACUAAUACCAGAUCUUGUUAAUAAGCACUAAUCUCUUUUUAAUAGAAUGCGUUUGAUGCCAGAUUAGUAAAAUAAACUCUCAUCUCUCAUGAUGACGCUUUGUUCCUGAGAACUUUCUCUACUUAUCUUGAGGACAUUAUGUUUGGAGAUUUUUAUGCUUCAGAAUACAUCUAGAAGACUUCUGCCUUGAAUGGAAAAGGCUUUCUAUAUUGCUGAGACAAAUGUGUUUCUGGAAUGGAAAGGCACCAACUAAGCUAUAGAAGCCAUUCAUAAGCGAAGAAUAAGAAUGCCUAUUCCUUCUUCUUAGAGUUCAGUUUAAAGACAGAAAAAAAGGAAGUCCUGACACAAAUAUGAUUAUGAAAAUGGUGAUUUUAGAAGACCAAAACUGGUGAAUUGCCCACAUUUGUAAGAAUAUAGCAGUAAUUUUAAAAACAAAUGAAGGACUGCUAUAGGUAUAGGAUACGGUAUUAUUGAAAUCUGGCAAAUUUCCAUCAGUGAAGUGCUUGAGAACUUCCAUGACUAUGUGAAGCUCCCAGGGUAACCUGGUCCAGAAUUUGGGGGAAUGGGAAUGGGGUUCUUAGCAACCUGGGAGAUGGCCUACCUUGAUCCAAGGAGACCCCUCUUUUAGAAGAAAGCAUGUCUCUGCACAAUGACCCCUGGCCCUAGACAUGGUAUCAGGAAUCCACAGGAGAGUGGAAUCUGUGCUGUGAUGGCAGGAGACACAAAGCACCUGACAAGUGAGAAGUUUGGGUUCUAGCACCAUCGCUUCCACUUUUGGCUCUCUAUCACGUACAGCAAAUAUCUGAAUGUCUUUCACUCUGACUUUUCUCAUCUCUCCACAUGGGGACAAUAAGUGUUCUUAUGUAUCACUGAAGACUUGACAAGGAAGAGUCAAGGGAAAAGAUGGAAAUGAGAGAACCUUGCAACGGGACUCUAUAAAGAUGAGGUCUUGUAGUAUGCUUUGGUGUGUGCCUGAGGAGCUCCCGGAAGGCCAGGGAGUCUGUGAAAGGAAAACCAGAUGGGAAGAUAGGUCCGUGGUCCUCCAUCAUUCUGAAAUCCCAAAACCUUUAAAAACAGAGUUUUAACAGAAGUUAUCAGCAAACUUAUUAGAUGAUAAAAACAUAACCUUAACUAAGGAGUAACCAUUUGUGUUGUUGGCUUUCUUUCUGCAAGAUCUAAGAGGCCUGGUGGAAUCAAUAUUCCCAAAACGCUUCCCAGGGUUAUGAGACCCGCUGAAAGUGUAAGCACUGGGAAAUGCUGACCCAGUUAUUCAAAAUUAUGGUGAGCAAGAGUCAAGAGUCUUCCCAACCAGAGGUCUCGCUGUUGCAAAGGGGCCCUCUCACCCAGGUUUCAGGAAUUACAGUUGUCCCUGAAAAGCAGCCUACAUAGUUCCAUAACGUGGAUAUACCAUAUCCAGAAGGACGGUGCCAGGAAUUCUGCAGGUGGAAGCAAUCCCAGGUGAUGUAAAGAAGUUGUGGUGUCCUUUAAUGGAAGAGAAUGUGAACGUAGGUACCUACGUGCCCAGCAUUCCACCCAACACAGGAGAGCAGCUGCAGAAUCACAAGUGGGAAGCGCCGUCUUCGGGACCUGUGACAACUUCUGUGUACACGUGGCAGAUACCGGCUCUGGCAGCCUAACUGGAAAGCCCAGACUAGCGUUACAGCCGAGAAAACUGCCCCAGGACUAACAGCAGGACAGAACCUACACCCGCCAAAACCUCAGCGUCUCGGAGCCCCAUGUUGCGAGAGUUCUAUGGAAAAGGACUCGACACUCUCAUAAUUCCACUCAGAGGGAGCUGUUGGUCGUGGCUCUGGGGACGCUAAUGGCUGUUGUCAUGGUCAUCAUUUUACUGUCGUGGCGGGUGCCAAACCAAAACAGAAAAUGGAGAAGAGAACGUCUAUGAAAACCUUUGAAACACACAAAACUUGUUGACUUAGUUGGAGUUGUAUUCCUUCUAGCCGUAUGCCUUCUUCUGGGCUGUCAAACUCGUAAGAUUUGUGGGUGGCAGGAUGAUGUCAUCUGUAUUCAACAGCUUGUAGUAAUUUCCACUCCCAGCCCCGCUCAAAGGUUGAGAUUAUUGCGGUAAAUGGGAUCUGAGCUUACAGAUGAAAGCCUCACUUUUCUUUUCCAUUGAGAUCACAAUACUGUCCCCUCUAGCAGGAUGACAAUUGUGCUGUCACCCACAUUACAUCAUACUAUCUCCCUCGAAAUGGCCUCAUCUAAGUGUGUGAGUGCAGCUGUGAAAACAAAACAUAUUUUACCGUGAGCUUUGUAAAUCCUCAAGGCACAUAUUAAUGAGUUUGCCUUUUAAAAGUAAUAUGAAAAAAUGUAACAUAAGAGGUGUGGCCGCUGUGAGUGAGUCAGGAGCAGGAUUCAGGAGGUCAGAAGGCUGUGAGAGAUCAGGGCUGGGUACGGUGGCUGGGCCUGGCUGCUGGGCUCCUCUCGUGGUCCUACCUGGCGCAUGGAGGUGGCGUUCCACUGCUCCUGGGUAGCCCAGGGAGAAAACUCCUUCCUGCCAUGCCAAGUCAUGCAUAGACCACAGGAUGGGGGGCCGCUUAUAUAACCAAGUUAUCAACAGGUGAUGAUAUCAAAGGGUGAUCAAGUGAUUGUAUCAUCUUCUGAACACAACACUGACCAUACUGCUCUUGAGAUCGGAAAGGCUGAGGACCUGCUCCAACUUCGGGUCCCAAAUCUGGAGAAGCAUCAACAAACAAAUAGAACAAAUGUACCAGAAUCAGAUAUCGUCACCUGGCAGGGCAAAGCAAAAGAAAGUUCCUGAUGUUGGGAAUUAGCUUCAGCUGACAAGAUGUGAUGUUGAUAGACAAAACUAAACGUGGAUCAAAAGAUCAACCAAAGGAAGGCUUGCCUCCUUGAUUCCACAGCUGGCAAAAGCCAUCAAACUCACAGAAAUGCGUACUUCAUGGUUACCCCCAUGAUGUCACCCAUGCUUUCUGUGCAAAGCGCCCCUUCCAAGAAGCUGGGGACAUACCUGCCCAGUCACAAAUGGGGUGGGGUGUGAGGUGUGCGAGGCUGCAUGGUGUCAUGCUUCCCAGAGGGCUAGCUCUGUGGCUGGAGCUCUCCUAGAAACUUUGCUCAGUCUCUUGCUCUUUGGUCUAGUCUUUUGCUGUGUUAAAAUGUGCAGAGAGAAAAAUAAGAAAAGGAAGGCCACCAUAAUGUCAGACAAGGGGCGCCUCCUUCAAAGAGCUGUGUAUGGACAAUCAGAAUCUGUCUGGUCAGCUGUCACCUGUUCCCAGGAUGCAUCUCUAUCCAAAAUGGAAGGAUAUGCUGAGGCUCAUUCUCAUCAAGGGAAGGGAAGACUUGCAUGGUGUUUCACUUUGCUGGGGCUGUGUAACAAAGCGCCACAGACUGUGUGGCUUAAACAACAGAAAUUUAUCUUCUGAUUGUUCUGGAAUCUAGAAAUCCAAGAUCAAGGUGUCAGCAGGAUUAGUUUCUUCUGAGGCUCCUCCCCCCCCCCCCCCCCCUUGGUUUGUAGAUGGCUGGGUCCUCACGUGGUCUUUCCUCUGUGCGUGUCUGGGUCUUAAUCACCUCUUCUUUUAAGGACACCCAUCCUAUUAGAUUAGGAUCCACCCCAUAUGACCUCAUUUAACUAAUUGCCUCAGUAAAGUUCUCAUUAACUUAAAUACAGUCACAUUUUGAGGUCCUGGGGGUUAGGACUUGAACAUAGGAAUUUGGGGAACACACAAUUCAGCCCAUACACAACAGAGACCUCACACCUCGGAGUCUCUGUCUUCCACCAGCUAAACUCAGGCACAUUUACCGGCCUGACUAGACAGGAUCGCAGUGGUGAAACUAGGGAGGAUCACUCAAGAACCUCGGAGACCAGACCGUUUGGAUUUGGCUCUGUCACUAGUCCCUUUUCGCAUUUAAAAACAGCUCGUAAUGUGUUCUACGAGGGACAAAGUUUAAAGCCGCUGUGGAAUUUUUUUUUUUCCCUAGGGAAAGAGUGGAUUUCUUCCUUCACUGCUUCCAAAAGAAGUUUCCAGGGUGUAGGGCAUUUCUUAAAAUCCAUAUGAGGUCCUCAUUAUUGUGUCUGUUUUGCAGACAAAACACUUUGCCAGGAAGUCUUUGGCAGAGGCAGCCCUGUAACUCAGAAAUUCCAGACUCCUCAAGCCUCAGUGACACAGAUGUAAGCGGUUACCAGUGCGGACCUGCGCUGCCUGACUGCACGUAGCAACACAAUGCACCUAAGGGCCUGGGCUUCUUCCUGUGAUAGAAAAGGGAGGCUACCUCCACGUGUGUAGGGACUUGGCUGGAACAACAGGAGUAGGACCACUAUGUUUUGAAAAAUGCAAAGAGAUUUUUUUAAUGGAGCAGAAAAGCUAGUUACAUCACUGGGGUUUGCCCAUCAUUAAAUUCAUUUGGUUUAUUUUAUAUUAUGUCUGACCUGCAUGUGUGAGGCUGUAAAUUCUUCUAUGUUUGGUAAAACACUGAGCAAGAAGGCACAACUGACUAAAUACUACAUAUUCAAGACCUAUCUUUUCUUUUCUUUUUUUUUAGAGAGAGAGAAUAUAUGGGGGGGACGGGCA